GCCUCCUCCACCAUUCUUUUCUAUACCUGCGUGUGCUGUUGCUAAGCUUCUUUGCAGUCAUGACGAGGAAGAUUAAGCACUACAGACCUCCCGGAAAGAAGAAGGAGGGUAACGCCGCCAGGUUCAUCACCAGGUCACAAGCCGUCAAGCAGCUGCAGUGCAGUCUCACUCUCUUCAGGAAACUAUGCAUUCUCAAAGGCAUAUUCCCUCGGGAGCCAAAGAAGAAGGUCAAAGGAAAUCACCACACUUACUAUCAUGUUAAGGAUAUUGCCUACCUUCAACAUGAGCCACUACUUGAGAAGUUUAGAGAAAUUAGGGCUUACCAGAGGAAGAUAAAGAAAGCUUUGGCAAAGAAGGAUAAUGAUCAGGCAAUUCGUCUCCAAACUCGCCAACCUGCUCCCAGUUAUGAUGGGGCCAUUCUACAAAGGUAUCCAAAGUUUGUUGAUGCACUCAGGGACUUGGAUGAUUGUCUCACGAUGGUGCACCUGUUUGCAGUAUUACCUGCCUCAGAAAGGUUGAAAAUUGAAGUGGAAUGCAUCCAUAACUGUCGAAGGUUGAGUCAUGAAUGGCAAGCUUACAUUGUCCGUACUCAUAAAUUACGAAAGGUUUUUGUAUCUGUAAAGGGCAUAUAUUAUCAGGCUGAGGUUGAGGGUCAAAAGAUCACAUGGCUGACCCCUCAUGCAAUGCAGCAAGUUUUGCCAGAUGAUGUCAACUACAGUGUCAUGCUAACUUUUUUGGAGCUUUACCAGAAUCUUCUUGGCUUUGUCAAUUUUAGGCUUUAUCAUUUGAUAAAUGUGGAGUAUCCUCCUAUUCUUGAUCCUCAGUUGGAAGCUUUAGCAGCAGGUCUUUAUGCACUUUCAAGAUACAUUGAUGCUCGCUCUAGCAUGUCUGUGGAAGAACCUAAAGCUUCCAGUUCGUCAUUACCCGAUCAAUUUAGGGCUCAGGUGGAAGUGACAGAAAACGAGGAGUCUGAAAUAAGACUUGCCCAACUUCAGCAUCAACUUCCUACCAAUGAACCUGGUGCACUAAUGCACCUUGUUCAGGAUGCUGAGGGUGAAGAUGAAGAUGAUGAAGAUACAAAGGAGUGUAAGAAGCUGUUUAGGAACAUGAAAUUCUUCCUGAGUCGUGAGGUUCCCAGAGAGUCCCUGCUUUUUGUCAUUCCUGCUUUUGGUGGUGUUGUUUCUUGGGAUGGAGAUGGGGCUCCAUUUAAGGAAGCUGAACAGAGCAUUACUCAUCAGAUUGUUGAUAGGCCAACCCAAGGUCAUAAAUACCUUUCAAGAGAAUAUGUUCAACCACAGUGGAUUUAUGAUUGUAUAAAUGCCAGGAUCAUAUUGCCGACUGAGGCUUAUUUAGUGGGGAGAAUUCCACCACCACACCUAUCGCCUUUUGUUGAUAAUGAGGUGGAAGGUUAUGUUCCUGACUAUGCAGAGACCAUCAAGCGUUUGCAGGCUGCAGCCAGAAAUGAAGUCCUUCCAAUUCUAGGUGUAGGAAAGGAAGAUCUAGAUGAUCCUCAGAAUUUGUUGGUUGAAGGUUACAUCAGUCGAACAGAGGCUAUUGAAGCUGCUGAGAGGAAGCAGAAGAUGGAAGAUCUUGAGAAGCAGCAUCAUGAAGAACUAAAAAUGGAACUUCAGAAUCUCCAUUCUUCACCUGUGUCAAAGAAAAUUAAGAAGAGCCCUGUUAAGGACACAGAGUCUAAGGAGGAGUCUCGCACUGACUUGCAGCAGUUUAUUGAAGACAAUGAAAGACGGGAAACAUUGCUUAUGCCUCGUAAAAAGAGGGGCCUUUAUGAAGCUAUCAAGAAAAACAAGGAACGGAAGGAUGCUCACGUUAAUAAACUCAAGGAGCGAAAGAAAGCAAUUGAAGCUCGGAAAUCCGAUAAGAAUUGAUUUGUCUAAUGAAUUCUUUACUUUGAAAUUCUUGGCAUACCAAACUUUAGCUUCUUUUUUAGCUAGUUCAUAUGUGUUGUGCCAUGUAAACUAUUACUUAAGCAUGUAGCAAGUAUGACUUCGCCAAUUAAUGUUUUAAUUGGCUUAAAUUUUGCUAAAAUAUGUGCUAUUUUUAAAUUAGGAUAUGACAUGUGAAUUGCACCUUUUUUUUUUGUAAAUAAUUAUUU
rnacentral:misc_RNA from 1 species